rnacentral:lncRNA from 1 species
GGAAUUUUAGUAAAAUUCUCUAAAUAAUAGGAUUAUGAUAAAUAAAAAAAUAAAUUCAAGGAUUCCUCAUAGUUCUUUUAAAUAUACUUUACAUGUAAAGAUUUUACAAAUAUAAAUAUGCAUACUUAAACAAGAUGUAGCAUUAUUGUUAGAGAAUUUUUGAGAUAAAAAAAAAAUAUACAUAUAUGUAUAUUUAUAUAUAUCCUCCAUUGCCCUUUAGUUAUUCUCUCAUUAAUUCCAAAGAGUUUUCUUUCUUUUCUCCAAAACUCAAAUUCCAAACAAAAAUUUUCAAGUCUAAUCAUCACCCAUCAUACAACAACGAGCAAGUUUGAUAUGAGCAUCAAAUGUAUGGCCACCGAAGUACCUGAACAAACAACGACUAGUUAGAGAGCCUUGUUGUCCACCACCUCCAUGACCAGAGCCUUUAUAGAUGUAUGCACUGUUCGGUCAAAGAUGGCACGUGCAUCAAGAUUCCAAUUAAAAGUGAUUGUCGAGCUCGGGCCAUUAAUCAAAAAACAUGAUCAUGCAGUCUGGAGUAUACCUAUAGUCGACAUAAAGUUUGAAAGAUGACACUUCUAAUAUGCAUAAUCUUUAAGUUAGAGUGAUGAUUAGGACUAUGCAUUCUGCAUAUAAUAAAUGUAGGUGCGAUACUAAUUGUCCCUAAAGCGACUCUUGUAGAAAUCAAAAGAGACACAAGAGGUGCAUUAUGCAUUUUGGAUCUCUUGUACACCCUUUGCAAGUUUUAUGACUUGCCUUUUCUUAGUUAGGAUCACAGUUUAUCUUUUAGAAACAUAUAUAUACAUAUUAUUCUACAUAACAUGCAGUGAAUUUGCACACAAAUAUAUACAUGUACAACAAAAAUCAUGAUAAAGAUUUACCUCUCAUAAUGCCAGUUAGGGAACCUCCACCUUUUAUUAGCCAAAACAUCAUGGGAGAGCUUGUAAUCCAUAGUAAUGUGGAGGCAUAAUCGUUGGUCCUUUUUACACCUUGUACAAGUCAUGAACUCGCCCCG